UUACGAGAAAGUGGGGUAAGUAGUUGGACCUGACCAUCGGCAGUGAAAGAGAUAGAAGCCUGUAGGCGAGACAGUACAUCUGCUCCUAAGAGGUUAAUAGGACAGGUAGAUAAAACAAUGAAACGGGAAAGGAUGUUAGAACCGACACGCAAGAGUUUUGUUAAUGGGUUAUUUCGGGGGGUACCAUCAACACCCACACAAGAAACAUCGAGGUCAGACAAAUAAGAAAGAUCUGGCAGGUCUUGUUCUCUGAGAACACUGCGGGCUGCACCUGUGUCAACUAGCAUGGUAGUGGGAUGACCCUCGACUGGUAGUACUAUGGUAGCUAGGGGCCCCUCUUUAUCCCCUGCAGACACUGCCAUAACAGGGGUGUCAGACACAGGUUUGCCUGUUACCUAUUGUACGAGAUCUAGGUAAGACUGAUCGGGGCCAGUGUAAUGAUGUGUAGUAGGAUGACUUGUUUGAUGGUUUUGGUGGGCAGGACGAUAAUGUGUAGAUGCUGAGUUAUCAGUCUGCUGAAUGUCAUUUGAAUCAUAAGUAUCUGUGGGAGGAUGCGUGUUAAAUUGACUGGGUUGAUAAGUAGUUUGGUUGUAAUCCUGCGGUGGGUAAUAUGGUCGGUGUGACUGUGGAUGUGUCUGUGAAGGGUAACCAUGUUGAGGACUCCCAUAUGUGGUUGUGUGUGUGUAGGGGUGUAAAGAAGGUCUGAUAGUUAGUGG